rnacentral:misc_RNA from 1 species
CUCUGAUUGUAUGGCGGCCUUCUGCAUUGAUAUCCUCUAGUCCAAGAAGAAUUUGUUGGAUGUUUAGCCGAUCCAAUACAGGGUAUAUUUUAUCAAGUGGGUCAAUCACAAAGCAAUCGGAGUGAUUUUCCAUAUACCUUCGCAAUUCCUGCAUGCCGGUGGUGUAAGUAAUUUUGCUCGAGGAUUCUGCAGAAUCACUUAAUUCAACAGAGAUGAUUUCAUCUGUUGCUUUAUGCAGAACUAUGUCAACAUGUUGUAAUUGAGAUCGUAGGGGCACUUCAAAUGUCAGGGGAAGAAAUAUCAAUCCAUUUGGAGUAGAAGAGAUAGGGAACGCACCCCUCUUAGCAAAAUCUUCUUCACG